rnacentral:tRNA from 1 species
UUAAAUGAAACCAAAUAGAGGUAUAUUAUUGUUAAUAAUAAAAUUGAAUAAAAAUUCCAUUUAAA